UGAGAAAAACGACCAACUAACGAGUAAUUUGGUUUUUAAAAAAAAAUAAAAUAAAAAAUAAAAAAUCAUUAGUAUAUAUUUAUAGGCUGACAGCUUGUGUUAAUAAUACAUUUUUGAACAUCUUGGAUUUAUAUUUGUCAGCAUUUUUUUUUCUCAAUUUAAACCUGAUGCCAAGAAUCACAUUACUGUGUGGCUUUUGUCCAAGAGCUGAAAACAUAACUUUGUUAUUCUCUAACUUUGGAAGAUUAUUGGCAAACAAAAGUGCGCUCAUCAGGUUAUACAACUAAAAGACAAACUCAGGAGCCAAAAACUGCAGUCAUAUAAAUCUUCAGCACCUGAGCAGCUUGAGGAUGAGAUAAAAAAAAUAAAUAAAAAAAUGAACCUACCAUGGAGAAGUGUUAUCCUUCUUCUUCACAGAAAAGUUGAGUGGUUGAGAUGAAUUUCAGCAUUUUCUGAAAAAGCAUACAGAGAUCACAAAAGAAAAGAAAAACGAUCAGGCUUAAAAAGAAUGCUUCAAAGGACAAAGCCGGCUGUUAAAAAGUCAAAUCAUGUCUCAAGAUGCCCUCAGAAAGACCUCUGUAAAGAAGUAAAUCAGCCAUCUAUCACAACAAAUAGUCCUCUGACGAUGGAUGAAACACUUCCUCGAGCGCGCAGCCUGACCACAGCACAUGCCCCGCCAAUAUUGUUGGAUAAAUCGACUGUUCCCCGAGGACAAAUGCUGCCAGUGUGCCAGGAUCAAUUUCUCUCUGCCUCAUUUCAAUUUGUGGAAAAUAACUGGAUAAAUUCAGCCACCGCAUUUAUGAAUGCAACUUCAUGUGCUUUCACAUCAGCAGAUAUCAGCCACACUUUUUUACCCAGCUCAUCUUCAAGCCAUAUGUUAUGGGAUGCUGCUUCUCACCAGGUGGAUCCUGUUACUUUCCUAUCAGGUCAUUGUGGCCAAGCCUAUACCCCACCUGAAAAAACUGAAGUGUGUUACACUGACUUACCUCAGGUUAGCCAACCUGACAUUGUAUCAAUAGAUUUUACAAGCCAA